rnacentral:misc_RNA from 1 species
AGCAGCCGCGGUAAUUCCAGCUCCAAUAGCGUAUAUUAAAGUUGCUGCAGUUAAAAGCUCGUAGUUGAAUUUCGGGACUAAUAUGUCGGUCGUGCCUCGGUACGUACUGGUUUAUUGGUUUCUCCUUUCUGAAGAACCAUGAUGUCAUUUAUUUGGUGUCGUGGGGAAUCAGGACUGUUACUUUGAAAAAUUAGAGUGUUUAAAGCAGGCUCACGCUUGAAUACAUUAGCAUGGAAUAAUGAAAUAGGACGUUUGAUUCUAUUUUGUUGGUUUCUAGGAUCGACGUAAUGAUUAAUAGGGAUAGUUGGGGGCAUUAGUAUUCAAUUGUCAGAGGUGAAAUUCUUGGAUUUAUUGAAGACUAACUACUGCGAAAGCAUUUGCCAAGGAUGUUUUCAUUAAUCAAGAACGAAAGUUAGGGAUCGAAGACGAUCAGAUACCGUCGUAGUCUUAACCAUAAACUAUGCCGACUAGGGAUCGGAUGAUGUUUAAUUUUUUAAUGACUCAUUCGGCGCCUUAACC